UACAGGUUACCAAGGGGACCUGUGGUCAAUGCCAGGAUUUAAGUGGCUCUAGUCUUCGGGGAUCAUCUUUCCUGAAUUGCAGCCAUGUUCUGGGGCUGUUGAUUAUCGGCAGGCUGAUUAGACCCUGUCCAUGGAGGAGAGUGAAUUCCUAAUUGCCAGCUGCUGAGGAGGCGAGCUUCCCGGCACAGACGCAGGUUGCUGAACUGGUAGGAGGUUACCCUGGAGCUCCUGGCCAGUGCAGAGCAAGAACCUGGCUGAGAAUCUUCACUGAUCAGAAGUCAGACAAGUGAUGGAGAGACUGAGACCCAGACCCAGCACUGCCUUAUACCCUUGGCCUUUCCAGUAACAUGAGCCAAUGAAUUCCGUUUUCUCUCAUGUGUGUUCCUUUAAAUAUAACACAAGUUUAAUGUCACCCUUUUCUUUAUUUCUUUAGCUUGCCAGGUCUUAGUUGCAGCAUGUGAACUUAGUUGCGGUAUGUGGGAUCUAGUUCCCUGACCAGGGAUUGAACUUGGUCUUUGGUGUCAUGAAGAUUGAAUGAGACGUGGCAUGUGAAUCAUGUAAUUUGCGAACUGACUCAUAGUAAAUUAUCCAAAAACGCCGGC